rnacentral:rRNA from 1 species
UAAGAGACAGGUGUGGGACCUUCGGGCCACAUGCCAUAGGAUGAACCCAAGUGGGAUUAGGUAGUUGGUGGGGUAAUGGCCUACCAA